GGGCGUUGAAUGGGUUAAUACUACAGAGGUAGUAGCCCAGGAUGCUGCUAUAUCUUUUAACUUGCAGCUGACUAGGUAUGUGGUGGCUUUAUUCACCGACAUGUCUGCUAAAAUUUAGGUAAAUAGAGUAGCUGGCUUCAUAUGAUUUAAGGGAUCUCAUCUAUUGGAUCGUUCUCACUCCAAAAUGAAUGCAGUUCCUGGGGUGUUAGCAUCAUGAUGGUGCUACCUUGGACCUUGGUAUCAUGUAGACCCCACCAAGAUGAUUGUAGGAUUAAGAUGAUAUUCCCACAUUUAGUGGAUGCUGUUUUUUCUUAUUGGUGAUGCUCAUUAGUUCCAUAACAAGGAAUUCUGAGGACAAAAAUUGAGAGAAGGAAUAUUCUUGAAUUUCAAAAAACUUUCUUUUUAAAUGAGUAUAAAUUUGACUUCACUUCUCUCUUUUCCAGCAUUUUAUUGUGAUUAUGUGUGUGUGUACUUAAUACUGCACUAUGUUUUGUUGGAUCCUACACUAUGCAUCUCAAUACUGAAAGAAACAUUGCUCUUUUUUUUUAAAAAAAAAUCUCUGAAUCUUGUAUAGUUUUCCUAUGAUAUUAUCCCAAGAGAGUUUUGGUGCUAGCUUCCUGAGUUUUUUUUCAAACCUUGAAUCACCUAUGAACUUCUAUCUACUUAUUCUAUUGGGUUAUUAUAAUUUGCUUGAAACUGCAGCUUAAUUGUCUGACAGUUCAAAUGUGCAAUCAUCUUAUUUAGUUCUUGGAUUAUUCUUUUGAUUUCUCAUGAUGGACUCCUAGGAGCAUAUUUUGUGAGUAUGUUGCAGCAUAACCAUUUCUGGCACUUAAUAUGUUCCCUUCUGCUUAGAAAAUUGUGAAGUUUGAUACUCUCGAUUGCUGCUAUAAGUUUUUCAUUUCCUUGUAAUGGCAUUUCUUCUUUCAGUCUAUAUAGGUUUUCAUUGAAUAUGUUGCUUUUUAAUUAUUUGAUAAAAAUGAACUUUUUUUGGGAGGAGGAAAAGUGAUAGAUAUGCCGAUAAGAACAUUUUAUUUGAGCAUAUGAAUUUGUUGUUUAAAACUUGUUCAGUGUCACGUCAUAUUGUUAUUCUUCAUUGAGCUUAGACCAAAUAAGGGGCUCUUGAGUCCUAUUCUCUCUUUGUUGUGGUAUAACCUGUAGGAGGAGCUCUGUCUGUUGAAAGCCUUCAAGAGUCAAAUACAGGAUGGAAGCAUCUAGAGAAAUAGUUUCAUAUCCUUCACUCUUUAAGCUUGAUAUGAAAGCUAUUAUCAGGAUGGCUUCCAAUCUGAUUUCUGGAGUGUCCCUGAGAAAAAAGCUUGCUCAUCAGGGAAAAUAUCCUUAAUACAAUGAAAUCCUUAUCAGUUAAUGAUUGAGAACGACUUUCAUGAUGGAUAUGAUUUAGGUGUAGGGUCUUUGCAUUACUUCACAACCCAAAGAUCACCCUGAAGUGAACUUGAAAGAUGUCUUGAGUGGGAUAGUUGCAAUUCUCACUAGCAGAAGCAAAGGAUAUGGUGGCGUUCAACCUCGUUAAAUUGCUAAUAUAUCAUUUUUGGGAUUUGAAAGCAAUGGAGACUAAGGUCUGCAAUCUCGGUACUGGGUAACAUACUGGUACAUUACUAGUUCAAUAUAGUACGAGUUGGUACGGUAUGGUAUGCAUCCCAUACCGAAAUAGCUCUCAAACCAUUUUUUCACUUUUAUCUCGGUACAAGUAGGUACACACCUCGGAAUGCCUCGAUACGAGGCGGUACAAGAUCUGUACCAAUCUGAAUAUGAGUUUCGUACCAGUUUCAACUUGGUAUGGUACGGUAGGCUCCAUACCGAACGGUUCGAGAUGGUACGUCAACCUAAGAUGGAGACAUGUUCCUACAUUCAUCAGUGUACAUUACCAAGUGCACUACUCUUGCUUGAGGCAGAAGCCACCAACUAUAGUACUUUUAAGGAGAUUCUAGAAGAAGAACCUAUGGAGUGACUUCCAGAUUGUUAUACUACAGUCUGCAUGUAGUGCACUUCUCCUUUCACUGCCCUUUACCCAUGGGAGGCAUUACUGCCGAUUUUGAGCGGCUAUCUUCUGCAUUUGUUCCUUAACUUAUGGCUUCUAUGUCUGAUAUUUCAAUGUUGCAUGUAGACAUGUGGGAGUUUGGAGGGUGAUUCAUGAAAGUGAGAUAAAAUGUCAAAAAAAACCUUUAUUUAUCUAACCUUGCACUAGGAAAGUCUCAUGCCUUUAAGACUUCUACCAUGUAUAUGGGAUGGCUUUAUGAAUCAAACUGCUCUCUUGUGAGUUGUUAUUAAUUUCACAGCCCGGUACAUUUCCAGCAGAUAGAGUACUUUACUAUAAAACCUAAAUGACUAGUUGCUGGAAAGUGAAAGGUAAAAUACUGAUUUUGCUGCUUUAUGUUUAUGGAACUUAGAAGCAGCCCUCCCAAUUUCCGUGGAUUAGGGGGGAAAAAACUUCGUUGAAGAAUUUGGCUAGCAAGGUUUGGUUUUGAGGACUGCUUUCAUGUUUGAGGUACAGAACACAAUAUCAAAUGUUCAGCAAGUACAAACACUUAAGUAAUACACUAAGAAAUUGAUGAUCUAUCAAUAUAUGUGUUGUUCUUUUAUCAUUUAGAGCUCAUAUAUUGAUGUCUCUUCCUCUAAUUUAUACAUCUUUAAGGCAAGAGAUGUAUCAAAAAAAAAAGUCUGAUCUGUCAAGAGGCAAAAUUGCUCGUGAAAAUUCCAAGUUUAUUAGCAUGAUGCAUGACCUUACCUUUCUUAUGUUUAUUAAAGACAUGCAAAUUGUGUGUUGUUGAACAUAUCAGAUGCCAAGUUUGAUUUUGUGGGUGACCAUAAAAAGAACAUUAUUUGAAGUAAUUAACAUGAUGAAGACAUAACUUGGGUCUUUUUUAGUUGGUUUAGCUUCCUAAUAAAUAAUAGCUGAUUGUAAUAUUGCAGGAUUCUGUACUUCGAACUUGGUCAUCCAAGAGGAAUAUGUGAAUUCAAGUUCUGGGACUGUGCCGUGCCUUUAGAUCAUACAUCUUUCUUUUUGAUUUCUCUUUUUGUCUAACCUGUAUUGUACAGAUCUUGGGCGAACUGAUGGACUUCAUCAUUGUUCUACAUGGUUCUAAAGCUGUCAAGACAUUUACCAGCUCCAAGCACUUUUCCCUUGUGAGAGGUUUGAAUGCAAUAGCAGGACCAGUUGGGAGAGUCUUUGAAGCAGAUUUCUGAGCUGGUGAUAAAGGAUCUGGAAUUUGUUACACUAACAGUUGUACCAAAGGUGCUUUUGUUGGAGUCUCACUGGAAGGUAACAUUGUUGCAACAUGGAUUGAUGCUAAUCUGUGAUUCUAGGCGAUGCUUAUCUGACUGCAACUGACAUUAUUCUGGGAACAGUAGAGUGACCUGAAGCUGCUGCGCAUUUUAUAUUGUUCUGAAUGGCCUCUACUGGUGGCUGACAUGCUAAACUUCCAAUUGUUUGUCAGAGUUCCCAUUGUUCAUCAAUGCUCUGCUUUAUUUUGACCAUCAGAGAGGCCAGUCAAACAAUAAGAUGAUGGUUGGGAUCACAACGAACAAAACAGAAAAUGACACUUUUGGGUGUUCACCGGAGUGUGAAAAAUAUCAACAGUAUACCUUGCUUGUUCUGCAUCUCUAUAUUGUCGGAACUGAGAAAGACCGUGCAUAUUUUUAUCAGAACAUUCAAUGGAAAUACACUUGAACAUUGUUCAUUUACUUUUGGUUAUAUUGGUUUCUUUUUGGACAUCAGUUGUAGACUAUCAUUGUACUGGUAGCCUUUCUGUGAUUAACCUUAAAUUAUUGUUCCAUUUGCAAAACUGCAUUAAUCUUUGGAAAUUUUUUGUCCUCCAAAUUUUAGGCAAGUUCUUCUUGAUGAAUAUAUUUUAACCAGUCCAUAAUCUAGCCUACCAUGCAUGGUGCUCCUUUAUAUUAUGUUAGUCAGAUAGCUUGUGAAAUGUAUAUGGGGUGAAUUACUUGUCUCAUUUUCGUGAAGCUUCAAAUUAACCUUAGCAAUUGCUCAGCAAAA